AUACGGAGGGUGCAAGCGUCAAUCGGAAUUACUGGGCGUAAAGCGUGCGUAGGUGGUUUGUUAAGUCAGAUGUGAAAGCCCCGGGCUCAACCUGGGAACUGCAUUUGAAACUGGCAUACUAGAGUAUAGGAGAGGAAAGUGGAAUUUCAGGUGUAGCGGUGAAAUGCGUAGAUAUCUGAAGGAACAUCAAUGGCGAAGGCAGCUUUCUGGACUAAUACUGACACUGAGGUACGAAAGCGUGGGUAGCAAACAGGAUUAGAAACCCUAGUAGUCC
rnacentral:rRNA from 1 species